GACGAACGCUGGCGGCGUGCUUAACACAUGCAAGUCGAACGGUGAAAGCGGAGCUUGCUCCGCUGGAUCAGUGGCGAACGGGUGAGUAACACGUGGGAAACCUGCCCCUCACUUCGGGAUAACUCCGGGAAACCGGGGCUAAUACCGGAUAUGACCUCCUUGGGCAUCCUUGGAGGUGGAAAGUUUUUCGGUGAGGGAUGGGCCCGCGGCCUAUCAGCUUGUUGGUGAGGUAGUGGCUCACCAAGGCGACGACGGGUAGCCGGCCUGAGAGGGCGACCGGCCACACUGGGACUGAGACACGGCCCAGACUCCUACGGGAGGCAGCAGUGGGGAAUAUUGCGCAAUGGGCGAAAGCCUGACGCAGCAACGCCGCGUGCGGGAUGACGGCCUUCGGGUUGUAAACCGCUUUCAGCAGGGAAGGAGCCGCAAGGUGACGGUACCUGCAGAAGAAGCACCGGCUAACUACGUGCCAGCAGCCGCCGUAA
rnacentral:rRNA from 1 species